CAGCCCUCCCCCCUUCUUGGGAACAAUGAAGUACCGGCUGUAGAACCCGGACUCUCUGUCGUGAGGAGGGACCA